rnacentral:lncRNA from 1 species
UCAUUUCAAUCCUUUUUAAUUAGGAUGGUGGCAAUCCUACAAUAGCAUAAAUUUUUUUAUUAUCAUUUACUUAAUGAAAUAUAUUACUGUUUAGCCACUACCAUAUUCAUUUCGAGAAAAGUAAUAUAAAAAUUUGAAUUUUGAAAAGACUAUACUUGUUUAAUUUAAGAGUAUAUAAUUAUAACGUACGAUGGAAUAGUGGCCAAAACUGCUAUGAGGUUUGUUUAACAUAUUAUAAUACCUCGGUGGAAGGUGGAGAGGGAAACGUGUUGGUGAAAUCUUUGGGACCCGUAGAACUUUUUCGUCUUGCAGGAUUCUUUCCGGUAGAUUUGGGAGUCAGGUCACCGUGUCGGACAAGUCAUUCACGGGCCAGACUGGUCCGAGUAAAACCGUGUGCGUACAGGAGUGGCGAUGUUGACCUUCGUUAUCGUUACAAGGUGGUGAUGCAACCGAAUGCGGUUGGAUUUGUAAGGAGAAGGGGAUU